rnacentral:misc_RNA from 1 species
UCCUGGUUUCCCAGGCAGUCCCGCCAAAGUGCUUUGCCCGAAGGCAAGUAGCAACUGGCAGCAAGGGUUGCGCUCGUUAAAGGACUUAACCCAACAUCUCACGACACGAGCUGACGACAGCCAUGCAGCACCUGUGCAAUUGCUUGAACCGAAGCUCAAGAAUCUGUAUUUCUACAUAGGUCAAAUGCAUGUCAAACCCAGGUAAGGUUCCUCGCGUAAUAUCGAAUUAAACCACAUGUUCCACCGCUUGUGCGGACCCCCGUCAAUUCAUUUGAGUUUUAACCUUGCGGCCGUACUCCCCAGGCGGAUUACUUAAUGCGUUAGCUCCGACACUGAGUCAGCAUAAAGCUAACCCAACGUCCAGUAAUCAUCGUUUACGGCGUGGACUAC